GCUGCCGCUGGCGCAGCUGGGCGGCGCACCGCUGGUCUCGGUGGCGGUGGCGCUGCUCGGGUUCGGUCUGGCGGCCC
rnacentral:tRNA from 1 species